rnacentral:lncRNA from 1 species
GAUGUGGAUACAGAAAUUCUUGGAAAGAAGUUGAAGAACAUGAAUAUUGAAGGCAUUCCUUCUCAAGAAAAAAAAAAUGUAGAGCAAGAUGUUGAAGAAAAUAUACCACAAUCUCAAGAUGAGCAAGGUACAUCAAAUUUACCAAAGAAAUAAAAGUAUGAUCCUAAACACCCUAAAAAAUUAAUUAUAGGUGAUUCAUCUUAUGGUGUUAAAACUAGAGCA